UUUUGCUGCAUUUUUUUUUUGUUUGUUUGUUCAUUUAGCAUUGAGAAAUCAAAACAAAAAUUCAUCGAUAGCCAACUGUAGCAAGAUUUAAGUUUAAAAUCGAAAAAAUAAAUGUUCUACCUGACACGAACGGAGUUAAACAGAAUUUAAUCGUAAAAACAGAAAACGAAAAAAAGGAGAGCCAGAACCGGAUGCCAUUUGGAAGAAGGAAAUAUUUACUACUAUUCAGACCAGAAUCAACGAAUAAAUAUAUCGCUAACAUUGACAAAUUCCUUUCACAUGUAUAUUAAGAAAUUCAGUACAAUCAGAUGAUCAUUAGUAACUGAAUGUAAAAAAAACACACACCAAUCAGUUUGACUUAAUAAAAAUUGACAACAGUUUUGUGAAUACUUUGAA